UACAGAGGUCCCAAGCGUUGUUCGGAUUCACUGGGCGUAAAGGGUGCGUAGGUGGCUUGGUAAGUUCGAUGUGAAAUCUCCGGGCUUAACCCGGAAAUGGCAUUGAAUACUAUUGAGCUGGAGGUUUGGAGGGGGGACUGGAAUUCUCGGUGUAGCAGUGAAAUGCGUAGAUAUCGAGAGGAACACCAGUGGCGAAGGCGAGUCCCUGGACAACACCUGACACUGAGGCACGAAAGCGUGGGGAGCAAACAGG
rnacentral:rRNA from 1 species